rnacentral:rRNA from 1 species
UCGGCUUAGAGUUUGAUCCUGGCUCAGAUUGANCGCUGNCGGCAUGCUUAACNCAUGCAAGUUGANCGGCAGCNCGANCUAGUUUACUAGUUGGGUGGCGAGUGGCGCACGGGUGAGUAACGCGUAGGAAUAUGCCUUAAAGAGGGGGACAACCUGGGGAAACUCAGGCUAAUACCGCGUAAUUUCUUCGGAAAAAAGCUGGGGACCUUAGGGCCUGGCGCUUUAAGAAUAGCCUGCGUCUGAUUAGCUAGUUGGUGGGGUAAGGGCCUACCAAGGCGACGAUCGGUAGCUGGUCUGAGAGGAUGAUCAGCCACACUGGGACUGAGACACGGCCCAGACUCCUACGGGAGGCAGCAGUGGGGAAUAUUGGACAAUGGGGGGAACCCUGAUCCAGCAAUGCCGCGUGUGUGAAGAAGGCCUGAGGGUUGUAAAGCACUUUCAGCGGGGAGGAGGUUUGGAAGGUUAAGAGGCAUUCGNAUGGAAGUUACCCGCAGAG